rnacentral:rRNA from 1 species
AUUGAACGCUGGCGGCAUGCCUUACACAUGCAAGUCGAACGGCAGCGGACCUUCGGGUGCCGGCGAGUGGCGAACGGGUGAGUAAUAUAUCGGAACGUACCUUUCAGUGGGGGGAUAACGUAGCGAAAGUUACGCUAAUACCGCAUAUUCUGUGAGCAAGGAAAGCGAGGGGAUCGCAAGACCUUGCGCUGAUUGAGCGGCCGAUAUCAGAUUAGCUAGUUGGUGAGGUAAAGGCUCACCAAGGCGACGAUCUGUAGCGGGUCUGAGAGGAUGAUCCGCCACACUGGAACUGAGACACGGUCCAGACUCCGUACGGGAGGCAGCAGGUGGGGUAAUUUUGGACAAGUGGGCGCAAGCCUGAUCCAGCCAUGCCGCGUGAGUGAAGAA